UAUUCUCCUCCCAGAGCUGAAUGAACCCAUCCUUGAUGUCAGCAGAUCAAAGUCUCCUGCAGAGUCAGUUGUGUCCUGUUCAGCCACAGGUCGACCUGCUCCCACUGUAACACUGACUGUUCUACAGCAGAACCUCAGCUUCUCCCACUACAACAGCAGCAGUGUGACCCACAGCAACGGUACAGUCACCGUCACCACCACAGCUCUGCUGUCAGCUUCCAGCAGCACACAGGUUGGAUGUUCAGUGUCAGUGCUCUCUGCUGCUCCCAGAGAGAAGCUGAUCACCGUUCCUGGAGUUAAAGGAACAUCUGAUGAUGGUCAAAGUGCAUCAUCUUAUAGUAAAACUCUAAUCAUCAUCAUCAUACCUCUAAUAGUUGUGUCGGCCUGCAUCUUUAUUAUUUCGCUCACUAUACUGUUUGUCAAACAGCAAAAGAAAAACAGGGACCCUGAAUGGAACAAAACACCAGUUAAAUUAUUACAAGACACAAAUGGGAGGGAGAAUCAGGUCCGACUGCGAUCGUCUGGAAAAGGAAGCAAAGGAAAACGUCCACCUUCAGAGGCUGAAGCACAUGUUAAGGACAAUGUGGUUACUACUCUGACAUUUUAACAUGACAACAUUGAGCUGUUCUGUGUUAGAUUGUCUGCUUAAGUUGGCUGAAACCUUAAACUGAAACUGAAAUGUUCACAAUCCUGAUUAAUAGAUAAACAAUUU